rnacentral:rRNA from 1 species
AGAGUUUGAUCAUGGCUCAGAUUGAACGCUGGCGGCAGGCUUAACACAUGCAAGUCGAGCGGGCGAGGUUGCUUCGGUAACUGAGCUAGCGGCGGACGGGUGAGUAAAGCUUAGGAAUCUGCCUAUUAGUGGGGGACAACAUUCCGAAAGGGAUGCUAAUACCGCAUACGUCCUACGGGAGAAAGCAGGGGAUCACUUGUGACCUUGCGCUAAUAGAUGAGCCUAAGUCGGAUUAGCUAGUUGGUGGGGUAAAGGCCUACCAAGGCGACGAUCUGUAGCGGGUCUGAGAGGAUGAUCCGCCACACUGGGACUGAGACACGGCCCAGACUCCUACGGGAGGCAGCAGUGGGGAAUAUUGGACAAUGGGCGGAAGCCUGAUCCAGCCAUGCCGCGUGUGUGAAGAAGGCCUUUUGGUUGUAAAGCACUUUAAGCGAGGAGGAGGCUUAUUAGGUUAAUACCUGGGAUUAGUGGACGUUACUCGCAGAAUAAGCACCGGCUAACUCUGUGCCAGCAGCCGCGGUAAUACAGAGGGUGCGAGCGUUAAUCGGAUUUACUGGGCGUAAAGCGUGCGUAGGCGGCUGAUUAAGUCGGAUGUGAAAUCCCUGAGCUUAACUUAGGAAUUGCAUUCGAUACUGGUCAGCUAGAGUAUGGGAGAGGAUGGUAGAAUUCCAGGUGUAGCGGUGAAAUGCGUAGAGAUCUGGAGGAAUACCGAUGGCGAAGGCAGCCAUCUGGCCUAAUACUGACGCUGAGGUACGAAAGCAUGGGGAGCAAACAGGAUUAGAUACCCUGGUAGUCCAUGCCGUAAACGAUGUCUACUAGCCGUUGGGG